CUCCUGCCCUCUUUCAUUAGGUCCUAUCUGUCUUUUGGAUGUGUUUGGACAUGACAUACAGGAGAAGCCUUUCCUGACACUCUAAAUCUAGGUUAGAAUGUUCCUAUUGUGUUUGUAGCAAUUGGCUGGUUUUUUUUGUCUCUGACCCCUUAGACUGUAAACUCCACGAGGGCAAGAACUACGUCAAUCUGUUUGCCAACCGAAUCUCAGUGCCCAGCAAGGUGCCUGCACCCAGUAAGGGCUUGGUAACUAGUCGGGGAACAAAUCAAUGGGUUCCCAAGCCUGAUCUAUCGUGUCGAAAGAGCAUCGGUAACUUUAUACCUAACAGAUUAGAAAAUACCAAGCUAAUAGUGCCUAGGUGUCCAUACACAGCUUUUGACAAAUGCGGCCCGUCUGAGACCUCUGAAAAACAUGCUUUAGCCCAAUUACCUGGAUCUCAUACAUGACCGGCUAAAUAGAGCCUGACCAUCUGUCUGUCAUAGCGCCAAGAAACUCACUGCCACCAGGUGUCCCCCAGAUAGGUGGGGAUCAAUUAGUAAUUAUAAUUGAAGCAUCGUGUAAUUUAUCACUUAAUCCUAAGCUGCUCAAGUUGAAUUCCACUGACAUGACAUCAUACAACCGGGGAAACCACAGAAAAUAAUUCAAAGGGAAAAAAUGGAUAUGAAAAAAUCCUGGGCCAAUUCUUUCCCUGGGCAGCCAAGAACUUGGGUGUGUCGGGCCAAUUAUAUCAACACGUAUUAGGAGGAAAUAAUGAGGGUUGGGCAGAGGUGUCUGAUGAGAACUUCAUCCGCGGUGGUAAGAAGCAAUCUGUCAGUAGGCGGAUUCAGAGGCCGAAUAGGUCCGUGUGUCCAGAGGAUCCAGAGGACAGAGCGCCACGUACGGGACCUGGGUCAUCUGGCCACCUACCCACACAGCUUUCCGCCCCCAGGGCCCGUGAACAAAAGAGGAAAGGGAGACAGGCCACGGCAGUGGUUUCUGUUCUCUUGUCCUGUAGUUUGGGGAUCAUCCGAAUGAUACCCCUCGACCAACACCGAGCAGUGUUUUUACCAGGUUCACCCUCGCCCUUAACAGAUCAGUUUACGUGGACAGACACAGAGACGGAAAGUGUGUAUCCUCUCUACGUGUCAUGCUCGUCACGACCUGAAGUUUACCACCGGGCUCAGGACGAUGAUAAAUUAAACCAAUACAGAUGCUUGAAAGAAACGGCAGUAUAUCUUUACAGCAGAAAUCCACAGGGGCUCCUCCAGAACGAUGCUGUAGAUCCGUGACUGGGCCUGGGGUCCUUUAGACCCUUUUGCCAAAAUACAAAUUCCAGAGCCAUCAUCCUGGAGAUUCUGACUCUGCAGAUCCAAGCGAGGGCUUAGGAAUCUGAAUUUUAACGAGCAUUCUCCUGGGAGAUGUGUAUGCAGUAAGACCGUGGAUAGGAAGAACCACCCAGAGAUCCGUACUUGUUUAUGGGGAAAUGUGGGGAUAUAGACUAUGAAGUUGUGUGCAUUAUAAAACAGUCCCAUUUAAAAAUACCCAGAUAGAUAAAAUACAGACAAAAGAAAGACAGAUGUUUUUCUUUUCUUUUUGUCUUUUUUUGAGCCAUCCGCAUGGCAUAUGAAGGUCCCAGGCUAGGGGUCCAAUCGGAGCUGUAGCUGCUGGCCUACACCCUAGCCACAGCCACAGCCACAGCCACGCCAGAUCCAAGCCACGUCUGUGACCUACACCAUAGCUCACAGCAACGCCGGAUCCUUAACCCACUGAGGGAGCCCAGGGAUUGAACCUGUGUCCUCAUGGAUACUAGUCAGAUUCAUUUCUGCUGAGCCAUGAUGGGAACUCCUGAGAAUAUGCUGUUUUUCAAAAAAUAUUUUUGCUCCAUGUAUUUUAUAAUUUUCCGCAAUGCAUUUAUACUGCCCUUAUACCAACAAAAAGAUAUUUUUAAUUAUAAGAGAAAUAUUUACCAAGCUCCUAACGUGCCACAAGCAUCAGGGCUACAAAGAUGAAAUCAGGUCACAAUUUUCUACCGUGAGCCCCUGGAGGGAGAGGACACAACCCCACGUGCAUUGGGACAGCUGGAGGACCUGCUGUGGGAGCACCAAGGCCUGGAGCGCCCCCUGCUGAGGCAUCCCAGCUGUAACGUUGGCCAUCACAGCGGCAGGCACCCAUCUGGCUGCUACAGAGCCGUGAACGGCCGGGAAACACAUUGGCAAUACUGGGGAUAGAGAAUGAAUUUCCCUAUAGACAGUUGGGGUUCUGGUCAAAGAAGCCUCACAACACUAAACAAAAGAAACCCAACACAAACAAAAAAACAGCAACCAGAAAAUUCCAACUCACAACAUGAAGAACAAAGCAGUAACUUAAACCAAUGAAUGACAGGUGUGACUUUGGAUCGGGACCUCCCGGAGGAGGGACCAGGAGAUGCCGGAUGUGCUGCUCAGAGGCGUUCUCCCUCCCAGCCAGGCUAUUACUCAGAACCGCCUGUUCUCUGCCUCAUCAAAUCCCACCCAGCCUUCAAGCCCAGCUAGCCCCUCUCCUACGGGUCUCCCCGACACUGUGGUUCUGGAGCAUCUCCAUCCAUUGAGCAUACAGUACUUUACCGGACAUACAUUGUGCAACCGUGUGUGUUUGGCCUGCAUUAUUUAUCUCUUGGAUUAAGAGGUCAUGUGACAACUUCUUAAAAGGAAAAUAAUCUCGUUUCUUCAAGAAGGCUGCCAGGUCUUGAGGGAUGGUUUAAAAGACAAUUCCAGGCACAUCAACAUUAGGCACGAAAUUCCCACUUUUAAAAUACGUCAUGUUGACCAGAAGUACUUUAUUUAGAAUGUUAAAGAAGCUCAACAUUGAAAAAUAAGAACUGGUUAAACUAAAUUGGUUGUUUGGGAAUAAAUGCCAUUACAAUGUUCUAACUACCCAUAGUUUUUUGUUUUUUGUUUUUUGUUUUUUUACCACUGCUAUUUUAUCCUGAUGCAUUUAUAUUUGGGGGGGAGUGGCUUGUUUUUAUUUAUUUUUGUUUGUUUGUUUUCAUUUUGGGCUGCACUCUCGACAUGCAGAAGUUCCCAGGCCAGGGAUCAAGCCGGCAGCCAUAGCAGUGAUAACACCAGAUCCUUAACUGCUAGACCAAAACUCUCCAUAUGUUUUAUUUUAAAGUCAACAGUAGGCAUCUACUUGCCAAAUGGUCACAUUCUAUGAUUCUAAAAAGCUGGUUUGGAAAUAAUUCAUUUCUUUAAUAUCUAUCGGAUUAGAACUACUAAGUAUUUUAGCAAACAUGACUACCGCUUGGGAGAGGAGAAAUUCACAAUCUUGGAAGAAUAAGAAUGUGCUUUCCUUAAAAACAAUUGUCUAAGAAGAGACUGUUAAAGACGCUUUCCUUAAAUUCAGCAUGAGAAGAAAAGAUCUGCUUCUGGGAAAAAGCUGAUGAGAAUGAUAACAACAGAUGUUUGGCUCACAUCAUAAAGCUGUGUUGUGUAAAUUCCAGCCGAUGUGUUCAAAGACAAGGUAGUGCAUUAUUUUAAAAGCUUUCUUUUUCUGACGGCCGAGCAAAGGGAAAAGCAGAGGCACAUUACAACAUUACUCUAGCGCCCUCUGCUGUCCUAUUGGCAACACGCCUUUCUGAGUUCCUCAUUUGCCUUUUCUAGAGCUAUUUGCAAAGGAGCUCUUUGGGAAGCCACUAAUGUGUCUGGAGGGGAAUGGCUCGUCAAAGAAAACCAAAUACCCAGAUCUUACAACCUGACGGUGUGCUAUUUAUGCCCACACACACUGUUUACCGCCCUCUGGGGAGCCAGAGGUAGCAUUGUGCGUAUUAGACUCUUACAGGUGAGUGGAGUCAGGAAACAUUAGGGCUCCAAAAGGAAAUCUUUAUAAUCCUAUUCAAUGCUUGGUCUGUGGAAAAUUUGCAGAGGAUGCCAUAGGUGACCUGAUGAGAGCUGAAUGUCUGAUGGACACCUGCAGGACUAAACCUGCUUUAUUGAAAAGAAGUUGAAUAAAUAAGAUGAGGAAAGCUUAAUCACCAGAAGCAACGUCAGCUCUUUUUAAAUGGGGGUCAGAAAUGCAAAUAUGCUCCUUUAAUACAUAUAGAUUUAGAAGUGACUUCAGAUUUGGGAGUCAACCUAACCUGAAAUACUAAAAUAAAUUCAUACCUGCUACUCAAUAAAUAUUCUAAAACUAAGGAUAAAAGUAUGUAAAUUAUAACUGGGCAUAAAUGAAGAAAUAAACACACAAAUUUAAUCAACCCAAUAUAAUGAAUACAAAUCUCUGCAGGAAAUAAGCACAAAUGCUAAUAGGGUUUGUUUAAAGACAUAAAAUUAAUGUUUCAUGUUUUUCCUUCCACAUCUUUUCUGCUUUUUUUCUUUUGGUCAUGACAGGAAGUUACUUUUACAGUGGGGGAAAAUACUGAACUCACUUCCAGAAAUAGUCUGAAAGGAGAGGAGCUUGCUCAGGUCUUUCUGAAUACAUAUGUAAAGAAAAUUAGCACAAGAGGAAGGAGGUAUUUUGUCCUCUUCCCCAAUUGUCCCAGUUGGUAACUAUAAAUCCAACUUUUCCUUAUGAUAAUGUCACCUAUUGCCUUUUGACUCUUUAUCAUCUAAUCCUAAAUCCAUCCACAGGCGAGAAGGAGCUGUCCCCAUUUCUGGCUAUUGCCCGCCGGUCUUUUUCACUGUCACAGCUGAGUAAUUGACAAUUUAUGCAAUCCAGUUCAUCUGCUUAGCAACAGGAAGGGUGGGGCUCAAAACAGAGGAAAACUACACCAGCAGCAUUCUACAAUUGUGAAAUGAGAAAGGAGGAAUGGGGAACUGGCGAGAGGCCAUAGGCAACAAUUUUCAAUACUAAAUAAAACUAUUUGCAAUGCUUUCAGUACUAAAUCCCCAAAGAUAAGUCCAACAGGGAGUGUUCUAUACUCUCCUCAUACAAAUCUCUGUAAUUACAGUCUUC
rnacentral:lncRNA from 1 species